AAAAAGGUAAAACCGGCAGGUGCCCGCCAGGGAGAAUAGGGAAUCAGGUGCAAGGCCUGAGCGGUCCCGCCACUGUAUGCGGGAGCGCACCGCAAGUUCAAGCCACUGCCCGGUAUUAAGCAGCAGCGGUUUUCUGGGUUGCUUUGGAAGCCUUAUGUAACCGCUGAAAACGGGCGGGAAGGCAGCGGUGCGGCGAUGAACGCGAGCCAGGAGACCUGCCUGCCGGCCGGUGCCCCU
rnacentral:ncRNA from 2 species